AAGACCCACCAACGCAAUCACAAGACAUUGACAGUGUGGCGAUGUAACCUACUGUCACACUGUGAAGAUUGUGCUAAGCCAAAAUUCUGCACUGUGGCCUUUUGGAGGCAUCCCCUGGUGAACAGCAUAAAACGAAACAAAAGUGGACAAAAAAACAGAACAAAGGCUCGCAUUCGAAGAAGGGAGGUUUUGCCCUGCAGUGGCCUGAGAAUGGGUGAUGAUGCUAUCUUGAGAUGAGAAGCAGACCUCAAACAGAGAAGCAAGAAUGGUUGUAAGAAGCCCAAUUUCUAAUAAUUUUGAUUGUUACAAAAGACAGCCCUAAAUUUCAAACAAUGCACAGGACGAUGACCUUAGUGUAAAACCCAGCACAGAGAUACAGUUUGCCAAACUAUCUGAAUAAAUUGGGGCAGUCAACCAGCUGCACUAUCUGCUAGUUUAUGAUGAAUGGUGAUGUCUUAACGUCGGCUCAACAUCUGUCUGCCUACUUCAUUUCUAAUUGCAUAACCUUGGCUAGCUGGUAUUGGUGGUAUGCUAGAUUUCAGUGCUGCAAUGUGAGACAAAUGAUGCAUGACUGUGAAGGAUUAGGUAUGUUUAUACUCUCUAGCCAAAUCUGCCUUCAGCAGAUGCCCAAUUUA